rnacentral:rRNA from 1 species
CCUACGGGCGGCAGCAGUAGGGAAUAUUGCUCAAUGGGGUAAACCCUGAAGCAGCAACGCCGCGUGGAGGAUGAAGGUUUUAGGAUUGUAAACCUCUGUCAGCAGGGAAGAACGGUCACUGUGCUAAUCAGCAGUGAAUUGACGGUACCUGCAAAGGAAGCACCGGCUAACUCCGUGCCAGCAGCCGCGGUAAUACGGAGGGUGCGAGCGUUAAUCGGAAUUACUGGGCGUAAAGCUCUCGUAGGCGGUAUGUCAAGUCAAGGGUGAAAUCCCCGCGCUCAACGUGGGAACUGCCUUUGAAACUGGCAAACUGGAGUGUGUGAGAGGAUAGUGGAAUUCCAGGUGUAGGAGUGAAAUCCGUAGAUAUCUGGAGGAACAUCAGUGGCGAAGGCGACUAUCUGGCACAUAACUGACGCUGAGGAGCGAAAGCGUGGGUAGCAAACAGGAUUAGAUACCCGAGUAGUC